rnacentral:miRNA from 6 species
CUGUACAACCUCCUAGCUUUCC